ACCAUAUAUGGGCAUACAAAUUUACAAGGGCAGGCCGUGCAGAUAAACUCAUUUCAAGAUGGUUGCUACCUACAUUCCGGUCAGCAUUGUGAAGCAUAAACGUUGAUACACACCCAAAUCCGGGACUCCACAGAUCAUGAGGAUAUCUUAUUUGUCUGCCUGUGACCUACCAUUAUUGAUCACCAGCCCCGAGAGUCAACAUUUUUAUUUUACACAACGUUUUCACCGAACAGCAAACAUCUUACAAGGAACAGGGUACCUGUGACCCCUCCCUCUGUGAUGUCGACCCUGCGGACUCCAGGGGACAUGUACCAGCGCUCUGUGACGACACUCGCCAGGGCCACCUGCUCCCUGAAACCCUGACUCAUGUGUCCCCUGUACACAGAGAUGUGCACCACCAUGGGAGUGUGGACCUCCUUCUUCCUCAACCUACGAGAGGUAUUGGUCUCAUGCUCCACAUCAGACCCAUGGGCUCAACACCCUCAUAUGUCCCCCCUACACUUGGAUCCUUGAAGACUAUUAAUGACAUACAAGUUACUUGAAAGUACAGGGCGAAAAGUGUGAUUUGUGUAGCAAAAAAACAUGCAUUUUGUGACGGGUUUUUAUAUAGUUAUGAUGAAUAUGACACAAGUCUGAGUUUACAGAAUCCAUCAUAUUGUUAUUUCACUGUAAUUCCUUUAAAUAAAUGAAAUAA